UUGUAGCAUUCUGUUUCCGGUCUCCCAGGAGUGAAAAGGGAAUCCAGUGCAAAUCUGGAGCUGACGCGCAGCGGUAAAGACUGGCGGGAUGAUAAGUUGCAGACACUGCUUUGGAAGAGUGGGAAGUCUUCAUCCAUAACACGCCACCCAGCCCGAAGACCUGCCGGAUUACGUCGCAAUGG
rnacentral:ncRNA from 2 species